rnacentral:rRNA from 1 species
AUUGAACGCUGGCGGCAGGCCUAACACAUGCAAGUCGAGCGGAGCGGCGGACGGGUGAGUAAUGCCUAGGAGUCUGCCUGGUAGUGGGGGAUAACGUCCGGCAACGGGCGCUAAUACCGCAUACUAUCAGAUGAGCCUAGGUCGGAUUAGCUAGUUGGGGGGGUCAUGGCCUACCAAGGCGACGAUCCGUACCUGGUCUGAGAGGAUGAUCAGUCACACUGGAACGGAGAAACGGUCCAGACUCCUACGGGAGGAAGCAGUGGGGAAUAUGGGACAAGGGGCGAAAGCCGGAGCCAGCCAUGCCGGGUGUGUGAAGAAGGUCUUCGGAUGGUAAAGCACGUUAAUUUGGGAGGCGUUACCAACAGAAUAAGCACCGGCUAACUUCGUGCCAGCAGCCGCGGUAAUAC